UGAAUGGGAAAGUGUGUCCCAAACUUUUUACUGGAGCUGUAUGUAUUUAGGUUUACCACCACAUUAAGACUUGUUUUAUUCUGUGAAUGCACGUCCAGCUCCUCCACUGCAGUAUCAAAAAGGUUAUUGCGUUUAGACAGUAACCUUUCCCUAGCCUGUAAGCACAUGAGAACAGUCGCAGCUGCCUGUAAUGAAGGCAAACAGUGUAUCACAUUGUUUCCUGCAGCUUAAUCUGUGAUUCUUACAGAGGUGGUGGUGUGUGCAGCAGCAGCACAGGUAACGGUCCAAGACAGGAGAAAACAGGUUGGUAGAAAACGAGUUGUAAAGCAAAGUUAUUUAUAUUUACCUUUGCAAGACGACUAUGUGCCUUUUUCAAAAAUACACUACAUCUUGAUAUGGUUACAUUGUUUUGAUUGCAGUGGUAUGUGGAACUGGACAGUUCUGUUUUAAGGUUGUGGAGAGCAGUGUGAGGAGAGGUUGACACUGAGUGGUCCUGUGAGUCAGGAACAACUGGCUGGAAAUGAAUACUUGCACAUGGUCAAGGACCUUGCAGAGAUGAGGCAUGAUGGACUGGAAGGGUUGCCAGGCAGUAUUGGGCUUGAACGCAGGGUGCCAUUUUGUGUUAGCGGACAGAAACCGAGAUAUUACUCGAACAUUUCCUGGGACAGUGCCCUGACAGCCAGCACCCAGAUUACGUUUCUUUAGUUGGACCUUCUUUUUAUUUGUGACGCCCCUCACAUUUAUGUUACAGCUAGUGUUUGUUUGAAGGCCUGAAUGAUACCUCUGUUGAUUUGUUAAUGUAAUAUGUAUAAAGAUUGUUUUAGGAAGAAUGGAUGAGGGUCAGUGAACAUUAAGGUGUGAUAGUGCUUUACUGUCCACACCACAGUUCACCAGUGUAGAACUCUACAGGUCUUUAGUACAGGUCUGUGGAUGUUGGAGGUCUACACUAAUCCAAAAGUAAGGUGAGGUACGUUUAUUUGCACAUUUCAGACGCAGAGGCAAUUCAAAGUGCUUUCCAUGAUUAUUAAAACAUGAUAGUAGAACAGAGAGGAACACAAUAAAUAAACAUAAUGCAAUAACAGUUUCAUAAAAACAAUGCAUUAAUGAGAUAUAAAAUAGUUUAAAAACGACAUUGUAAAUAUGGUAAGUGCUAAAACAAGUUAAAAGGCUUCUGGGUAAGCUGUAAAAAGUAGUGUUGUUAGCA